AGAACGAACGUUGGCGGCAUGGAUUAGGCAUGCAAGUCGAAUGAAUGCUGGGUAGCAAUAUCUAGCGGAAAUGGCGAAAGGGGCAGUAAUACAUGGAUAACCUACCCGUGGGGAUGGGCAUAGCCGGUCUAACGGCCGGUAAUACCCAGAGAGUCGACGAUGUGGCAUCACAAUGUCGGGAAAUGAAUUUCGCCGUCGGGAGGGUCCAUGAGCUAUCAGUCUAGGUUGGUGGGGUAACCGCCCACGAAGGCUUAGACGGUCUAGCGGGUGUCGAGACGCACGACCCGCGCCACGUGCACUGACG
rnacentral:rRNA from 1 species